CUUCAGCUUCAGUACUAAUAGGCGCAUCCCAAGUACCGAGGAUUUCUGCAGUACGUAUACAGCAGCUUAGAGAAAACAAACUAAAAAUCAGCUCUUGUAGUGCAUCUACAAUUCCUUCCAUUGUUUUCAUAGAGCUCUCACAAAAACAACUGCAAGCCAAGGAUUUAGACUAGAAAUCAACGUAACAGCUUCAUUAUUCUUCCUCUGGUCUCCAUCCUGUGUUUUGCUGACAGACGAUGUCAAAGCCAGAACACAUGUACAGUUAUAAAAUUGUGGAUCUCUGAAAGCAGAUGAUUCAUAGAAGCAACGUAACCUGGCAGAAUACUUGGAAUACAAAGAUACUGGCAAUUUCCUAGAGCAGAUACUUUAGCAUCAGAACAACCAGGACCCCUGCACUGAAAGCAGUGGCUCAAGGCGAAGUAGAUGGCUCAGACUCAGCUUCUCACAGAGGUUUUGACAACUUGAGGAAUCCCUCAUGUGGCAUCUAAAAGCCUGUCUUCUGCACCUGACCCUGCCAUACAGAGGGUGAAGAGAGAAGGGUACUUCCGAAUCCAAAACCAAGCAUGCCAUCAGUGGGAAUGGGCUUCUCUCCUGGCUCUGCCAAAGGUGGCCUCCAACUCUACCAGCCUGUGCGCACAGCUACGAAAGCCUUGUAGCCUUUCACAGAAAAAAGGAAGCAGCAGCAGCAGCAGUUUUCAUUGAUCAGGAAUAACUUGUUGUUCGUGGAUUCUGACCUCUCAUCUCCAGCACCUAGGCAGACUCCAUCUGUUGGUGUUACUGAUCCUGCUCAUUUUUUGCAGGCUGGGGUGAGAUGAUGAUAAAUACACUGAAAUAGGAUAAACCUGCUGUAACAUGAAA